AGAGUUUGAUCAUGGCUCAGAAUCAACGCUGGCGGCGCGCUUAACACAUGCAAGUCGAACGAGAAAGCAGGAGCAAUCUUGUGAGUAAAGUGGCGUACGGGUGAGUAACACGUGGAUCAUCUACCUCUUUGUGGGGGAUAACCCUGGGAAACCGGAGCUAAUACCGCAUAAGUCCGUGAGGAGAAAGCAGCAAUGCGCAGAGAGAGGAGUCCGCGGCCGAUUAGUUAGUUGGCAGGGUAAAAGCCUACCAAGACAAAGAUCGGUAGCCGGCCUGAGAGGGCACACGGCCACACUGGCACUGAAACACGGGCCAGACUCCUACGGGAGGCAGCAGUGGGGAAUCUUGCACAAUGGGGGCAACCCUGAUGCAGCGACGCCGCGUGAGCGAUGAAGCCCUUCGGGGUGUAAAGCUCUUUCGGCAGGGAAGAUUAUGACGGUACCUGCAGAAGCAGCUGCGGCUAACUACGUGCCAGCAGCCGCGGUAAUACGUAGGCAGCGAGCGUUGUUCGGAGUUACUGGGCGUAAAGGGUGUGUAGGCGGUUUUCUAAGUCUGGUGUGAAAUCUCCCGGCUCAACUGGGAGGGUGCGCCGAAAACUGGAAGGCUAGAGUGCGGGAUGGGUAAGUGGAAUUCCUGGUGUAGCGGUGAAAUGCGUAGAUAUCAGGAGGAACACCUGUGGUGUAGACGGCUUACUGGACCGCAACUGACGCUGAAACACGAAAGCGUGGGUAGCAAACAGGAUUAGAUACCCUAGUAGUCC
rnacentral:rRNA from 1 species